CCCGGGGCCGCGCGAGCUACGGCGACGCGGAGCCGGCGGGGCCGACCCUGACACACACCCAGCGCCGGGCUCCGCGACCCCGAGCGUCCCCCGCUCGGCGGCUUCGAGCCCCCCACCUUCUGCUCCCCCCGGGGAAGGGAGGAGGGUUGGUGGGCGAGGAAGAGGAAGGGGCGGGCGGUGCGAGCCCUCUGCCCGCUCCCCUCCGGCCGCUCCAGGCCCAGCGCUCGCCUCCCUUCCCCUCUGGCCUCGGGAGCUGCCCCGCCCCCGGCCUGGCCGGCUGUGGUCCUCAGCACCCCCUAGACCCCCGGCAGGCUGUGAUCGCGGGGGGCCUAGAGGUGCAUGGUCCAACCCCGGCUCCCGGCGCCGGGGGGUCAGGAAACUGAGCGGAAAGUGGGGAACGAGGCAGCCAUUUGCAACCGGAGAGGAAAGUAGUGCAGCGCGGCGCCGCUCCGCCUCCCCCCCUCCGCCUCCUGCUCGGCCGGUAGGGUGGUUCCUGCGAACCGGCCGUUUCCUCGCCUGGGGUCUGGCCGGCGGCCCCGGAGACUCGUGGAGCGUCCGGCGCGAGGUCCAGGGGGGCCCUCUGGCCCGGGGACCCCCACUCAAGAAGGGGAGAAAGGAGAAGAGGAGGCCCUAUUUUGUGUUGGAGCGGGGCGGCGGAGGGGUACAGCCCUCUUGGAGGAAAGGCUGUGACUCUGCAGUUCUACGCACACGCUCCGGGAUCCCUCCGCCGCGGGUUAACCCCGACUGCGCCAGGCUGGCCGCCGGGCAGACACGUGGGAAUAAAGACCCCCGCUUCUUCUCCCCGGCCCAGGAACUGCCUCCUUUACCUUCUGAGUAGUGAAGCUAGGAUCCUGGCCACUUCUUAAUUCUGCUCCCUCAAGUCACUGACCCUUGGAACUCCUAGCUUUGGCCGGGGACAGUCUUUGCCAAGGGGGGGUGGGGGGUGGAAAGAGAGGCUGGAGAUUGGCCGCUGCUCUGCAUCCUGGGAACUGGAGUCCGCAAGUGGAGAAAGUGAGGCAAGGCGCUUGGCGCUGCAAAGGGUGGGUUCUUGCCACGUUCGGGGGCCGGAAGAAAGCUGGACCGCUCUCAGGUCUUCUAACUCUAAGACCCUUUGGUGCCGAAGGGCUGUCGGUGUCCUCACGAUCCCCAAACACCACUUUCU
rnacentral:lncRNA from 1 species